GGACCUGUAGCAGAGUUUGGAUAAUGCGACUCGCUUCGGACGAGUAGAUCCUGGGUUCAAAUCCCAGCGGGUCCA
rnacentral:tRNA from 1 species